UGCUAUUGUUUGUAGUUUAAGAAUGCCUU
rnacentral:piRNA from 1 species